rnacentral:tRNA from 1 species
GGAGAGAUGACCGAGAGGCCGAAGGUGUACGCUUGGAAAGCGUAUGUGCCCCACCAGGGCACCGAGGGUUCGAAUCCCUCUCUCUCCG